ensembl:snRNA U6 U6 spliceosomal RNA
UUGCUUCAGCAACAGAUAUAUGAAAAUUGGAAUGAUACAGAGAAGAUUAGCAUGGCCCUGCACAAGGAUGACAUGCAAACUCAUGAAGCAUUCCAUAUUUUC